rnacentral:rRNA from 1 species
CCUACGGGAGGCAGCAGUGAGGAAUAUUGGUCAAUGGACGAGAGUCUGAACCAGCCAAGUAGCGUGAAGGAUGACUGCCCUAUGGGUUGUAAACUUCUUUUAUAAAGGAAUAAAACGAGGCACGUGUGCCUUUUUGCAUGUACUUUAUGAAUAAGGAUCGGCUAACUCCGUGCCAGCAGCCGCGGGAAUACGGAGGAACCGAGCGUUAUCCGGAUUUAUUGGGUUUAAAGGGAGCGUAGAUGGGUUGUUAAGUCAGUUGUGAAAGUUUGCGGCUCAAACGUAAAAUUGCAAUUGAUACUGGCAGUCGUGAGUACAGUUGGGGUAGGCGGAAUUCGUGGUGUAGCGGUGAAAUGCUUAGAUAUCACGAAGAACCCCGAUUGCGAAGGCAGCUUACUAAACUGUGACUGACAUUGAUGCUCGAAAGUGUGGGUAUCAAACAGGUUUAGAUACCCGUGUAGUC